UGCAACUGAAUAAUGUAUCAAUACGGCUAGAUUAAAGUUCUCUUACAAUUGAUACAUUAUUCAGUUGCAAAAGCACAAUUGAGAUGUGCAAUCUCAACAUUACAACAAAAUUUGACUGAAAAUAUCAGUUUAGAAAAUGUAUACACACGCAAUGGAAGUCAGCAAUGAGGUCAACAGUAUCGAAACAAGAUUCACAGCAUUGUUAUCAAGAAAGUUAAGCCCCGAAAUUUUCUUCACUGUUGGUCCUGGUUUUCCAACAACUUUAUUACGAACAGUGCAGAAUCCGCUGAAUUGCAGCGUAGCUCCCAAUAGCGAAUCUAUAAGACUCCCACAUAAUCCUGCCAUUGCAGCUAGGGGUAUGACCAAGAUCUGCUUCAGAGCUACAUCAUAUUCACAGCUUGUUGUAAAAAAUCCAAAUAGAACAAAUGUGAGUCCAAUUACACUUCCUGCCCUCCCUGCUCCUGCAGCUGCUACAAGUCCUACCAUUGUUACCCCGCCAUUUGUACCCUUCCGAACAGGCUUAAAGGUUGUGAUCAAACGAGGUUGUGCAUCACUAAGCACCCCGAGCUCUGAAGACCAAGUGUCUCCAUUAGAACAAGAAUAGUGACCAAUAAUACCACCAAUUAAGGAUGUGAUAACAGUUGAUUCUUUUGUGUCCAAGCACUUGUCCUGCCAUCCACUGAGUUUCCAAAAAACCACAGCCAAAACUGUAGAAAUACCACUAUUAAACAGAACUUGUAUCCAAUUUCUUUGUCCGCCUUCCUUGAAAUCAGCAUCAAUACGUCUCUUCUUUUCCUCCCCGACCUUCGUAAGUUUCGACGAAGAGAGGAAGAAUGCAACCAAUAUAGCGCCAAAUCUGUAAUUGAUUGCGAAGUGAAUGGUCAAAACAAGAAAUCCGGAGAUUGCACCAGAAAAGUCGAGAGAUUUUCUCCUGUAAGCUCUAAUAGCGAUUAAAGAAGAGAUUAACACAGCAAUUGGUAGUUGGAUUAAGAAUUUAUCCAUUAUUGAAUUUUGAAGACUAAUCGGAGUUCAGAAAUGUUGAAGAAAGAUGAUAAUUUGUUCGUUUCUGAGUUACGAUUACACCUACACACUGCA
rnacentral:misc_RNA from 1 species